rnacentral:snRNA from 1 species
GUGCUCACUUCAGCAGCACGUAUACUAAAGUUGGAAGGAUACAGAGAUUAGCAUGGCCCCUGUGCAAGGAUGACACAAUAUAAAAAGUUUAAAAAACGCUC